rnacentral:lncRNA from 1 species
AGGGGAGGAAGAAGAAGCAGCGGCAGUGUAGCUGGGAAAGAAGAGAAGGAAAGGAAGAAGAAGAGAAAGGAAAAGGGAAGAAGAGAGGAAGAGGAGAACGGGAGGCAGCUGCGGCAGUGGCAGCUGCAACUGGAAGAGAAGGAGAGGAAACAGAGCAGGGGAGGAAGAAGAGGUUGCGGUCAUGGCUACGACUGUGGUAGUGGCAGCGGCGAUGGCUACGAUAGCUGUGUUUGAAAAAGAAAACGAAGGAAUGAGAGUAAGAGAGAGCAGGUGACUAUGCCUCUAUGUUCUGCAUGAGCUGCAGUUGUGGAGGAAAAAGAAAAGACAUAGAAAACGAAACAGAGAGAGGACACGGAGGAAAAGUAGAAGGAUUUGGACUAGCACCUUCUUUGGAUCUUCGGAUCGAAAUCUUUGAAAGGCAAGUUUCCCGAUCGUUUCUCCUGUAAUUGUUCUAAUUUUUCUUAUUGCAAGUGUUUCGAUCCUUUCUAUUGCAAGUGUUUCAAUCCUUUCUAUUGCAAAUGUUUCAAUCCUUUCUAUUGCAAGUGUUCCGAUCCUUCCUAUUGCAAGCUUUCUAAUCUUUCCUAUUGCAAGUGUCCUGAUCUUUCCUUACUGUAAUUUUAUCUCUACAUUUGCUUUGAAUAUGAGGAACUUUGAAUUGUUCUAGCCUUGCAUUUGAUAUAUCUCCUGUUU